GUGAUGAACUGUGCCCUGGCAGAGAUGACCUGGCAAAAUUCUCAACUUCUUCCCUGAGGCAGUGCACCCGCAGUUCUCGGCGGCGAAGUCUUUGGGGCAGAAGUCCCGAGCCUUCAGAACGGCAGGCUUCUCCCCCUCAGGACUCCAGUCCCCGCGGCCAAGGCUGUCGCUGCGGGGGCCCCGCGCGGGACUGGCCAGGCUCUUCCAUUAACCCUGUCUGGUCCGGCCGAUCCCGCCGCGACCCGAGCGCCUCUCGGCCCCGCAGCACAGGGCGCCCAGGACCCGCCACCCUCGCCGCCCGUUCCCCUCUCCGGAGAGCCCGGCGGGGCCGUCAGGCUGCCGAGACAAAGGGUACCGCGGCGCCAGAGGCCGAGGCCCAGCCGCGCCUGCCUUCCUCUUUCUCCCGCCCACUGCCAACCUCCAGUCGCCCGCAGAACCUCCGCUGCCUCGGCGCGACCCCAUCGCCACCCCGGGGCUGCCGCUCGGGACCGGCAAGCCGGGUAGCCGCGAGGCGGCCGCGGCAUGCUAGGGCCGAGGAGGGGGCGGCGGCCGCCACCAUGUCUGCCCGCCCCUCCCAGAAGCAGUGUGCCCAGCGGACAAAGCGCAGCGGCGGCGCGGGCGCCCAGGCCGACCCCGCCGACCCCCGCGGAAUAAGCGGGGCCAGGAGCCCCGGAAACCCGGCGCCUUAAUGCAAUAAACAGGAAAUCGCGGGGAUGAUCUGGGUUCCGGGGGAAGUGGAAUUAUUUUUUACCAGCGAAGAGAUCAACUUCCACAUCCGGUGGUAACAGGGCCCUACACAGACCCGCACUGACCUGGAAAAGCUUCGGGAGCGGCGACGGGAAGGCAGCAGGAGGUGGUGCGGGGACCCGAGGCGCCUCGUACCCGGCCGGGCUGACGCGGCCCCGCUACACACAAAGCGCUUCAGCUGCACAGGGCGCUAUUUUCCGAAAAUGCCGCGUCUGGUCGGCGCCCAAAAUCCCCACCGAAAAGUCCCCCGUGCUGCGCGCGGAGGGACACAUGGUGUGCGAGUGAGUCAAGCUCCCAGCAUCCCUCCCGGACCCGGCCCUCUUCAGCUCAUCGCCCGAGGAUUUUCCGCCUCUGCCCUCGUCGGCAGAUCCUGCUCCUACCCACUCCCUAGCUGUGUUCCCGCGGGGAGAGAGGGGAAAGAGGGUCUGAUUUUUUAACGAAGGGAAAGAAAAUAUGCCAUUUCUAGCGCUUCAGCCACACAAAGAAAGCGGCGGAAUGAUCCGCUCUCGGCGACCGCAAGUCCCGGCUCGCCCGGCGCCUGCGCGGCAGCGGGGGUGGGAGCUGCGGACGGCCAUGUGCGCGGCGGAGAGGCCGGGUGGCCACCGAACCUUCCCGCCUGUUCUGCGGUGGGUAGGAGUUUGGAAACUAAUGUUCCUGUGCUAACCUUCGUGUCUCUGUGACAUGACUGUUGAAAGACGGAGAGUGCGGAAUCUUUGGAGUUUUAAGCUUGCCAACUGUGCGGCCUAGCAGAAUCCUGGGAGACGGAAGGACAGCCAAGAGGCUAGGAUUUACCUUUAAGUGUCCCUAGAUUCAACUAGGCAGACUGGGACGGGAGACGCUGUGAAGGUACCAGGGAAGGAACGAGUGAGGUUCCUUUUCCACUUUUUCAUAAACUCAACAGUCAGGUUCAUGACGAAGAUAUAGAUAUUUCUGUAGAUUUUUUCCCCAACAUUCUAAUUAUGCCUCAUGUUUCGUAGAUCCUAGUAACUGCUUGGAUUACUGCCACCUCAGAGGUAGAGAUCUGUUUUUCCGUGGCUGGAAUGCCAAAAAUUUUGUUGUAUUUUAUUAAGAAAGUAGCAAAAGUUUGGAGAUUUGCAAAGUUAAAAAAAAAAAAAGCAUUAUGAACUUAAUCUAGAUGUGAUUUGCUAAGGAACUUAAUAUAUUGAUAUGUUUUUCACAGGGGCGUCUGGGCAUGGCUUUCCCAACCUAGUAACUGCAACUUUUAGCAUCCUACAUGUAGGACUUGGGAAUAUGUGAGACAGCGCCAAGAAUUUAAUCCAGGAGAAUUGACAAGCUUAAAUGAAAUCCAUAUUGCCCACUGAUUUUGUGCAGCUUCAGAUAAGUAAUCUUUCUCCACUUAGCCUUUUGUAACAAUUGAUGUAAUAAAGGUUUGUAGUCUUUGUGUAAUUUAUUAAAGCAUUGUGCCUAAAAUAGAAAAAAAGCAUAGGAACCAUAGGCUGUGUUUUCUUUUGAUUUAAUAUUUUCAUUUCUUCAGUUAAUAGAAAUUUGCCAAAUUCUGAUGUUUUUCUGUAGCAUUAUUUGAAUGAGCAUUGUUUAUUUGAGUGAACAUUCAGCUAAUUGUUACAGAAUCGUUGCCCCCAUUAAUCUUAGGCUGUAGAAUGUAGACAAGUAAAUAGGCAUCAUCAGUAUGAUGAGAGUGAAGCUACUUAAUACUGUGGAAUCAAAUAAAGGAGGAACCCCUUACUAAACCAAGAGGGAGGAAUAAAAUGGAAUGGGACUAGAGAAGCAAUUAGCUUUAAUAAGGGUAUUAUGGAAGACUUUCUAGAUGAGAAGCAGUAAGUACAGAUGUUUGGAGGCAAACACUAGAGAGAUUGUUGGGUAAAGAAGACAAUGCUGGAGGUCUACUUGUGAAGGCCUUGAAUGCUAUGUGCAGAAGUCAGCUUCUGAGAACCAGGAAGAAGAUAUUGAAAGAUUUUAAGUAGAAGAAUCAUAGGAUUGAAUUCAUUUUAGACAGAUCACUGUUACACAAAAAUUUGAGGCAAACAGAAGAGUUUGGAGUAAACAGUAGGCUGUGAGCCAGUAAUGACUUGGACUGAGUUGGUAGCAGGUAGGUGUGAAGAAAAUAAAGUGGUUAUUGGGAGAUUUGGUUAACUGAAAAUGACUGAGGGAGAUAGAUGUCAGGUGACUCCCAAGUGAGUUGGUGGAGCAGCUAGGAGGAUAGUAAUGUCUUCACUGAGAUUAGAAACAAAAUAAGAGAAUAUAUGUUAGGGAAGGAAGAAGUCUUUGUUUUGACCAUGUAAAAUUUGAAGUGCAUGUGAGCCAACCAGUCAUAUAUGUGUAGUGUGCAAUUAGAUAUUCAUUCAACACUGUUGGAAGAGCACCUACUCUGUGCCUGGUACUGUUCUACACACUGAAAUAGGUAAAGCAGCAGCAAAACAAAUGGUUCCUACUCCUGUUUUUUAGAGGGAAACAGCAUAUAAACAAGUUUUAAAAAUAAGAGGAGAGAGAAUAUCCCAUAAAUUCGUGAAGAAGGCUGGGUGCAGUGGCUCAUGCCAGUAAUCCCAGCAGUUUGGGAGGCCGAGGUGGGUGGAUCUCCUGAGUUCAGGAGUUAAAGAGCAGCCUGGCCAACAUGGCAAAACCCCGUCUCUACUGAAAAAAAUUAGCUGGGCAUGGUGGCACGCUCCUGUAAUUCCAGCUACUCCGGAGGCUGAGGCAGGAGAGUAGCUUGAACCCAGGACACGGAGGCUGCAGUGAGCCGAGAUUGCGCCACUGCACUCCAGCCUGGGCGACUGAACGAGACUCCGCCUCAAAAAAAAAGAGUUUGUGAGGAAAAUUAAAAGCUGAUUGGAUAAAGUGUUACUCUGGGGAAAAGAGAGCAAACUUUUGGUGGUUGGUUGAUCAGAGAUGGCCUCACUGAGAAGGUAUUAGAAAGGACAAGAACAGUGUGAGACCAAAGGGAAUAGCUGGGCAAAGGCCCUAAGGUGAAAAAUUUGUUGUGUUUAGGGAAUAGCAAGGUCAGUGUAUCCGAAAUCUAGUGACCAAAAGAAGGAAUGAUAGGAGGUGAAGUCUUCAGCCUCAAUAAGAAGGUGAAGUGCACUGGAAGCCAUUGAAGGAUUUAAGAAAUGGAGUAUCUGGCCGGGCGCGGUGGCUCACGCCUGUAAUCCCAGCACUUUGGGAGGCCGAGGUGGGAGGAUCAAGAGGUCAGGAGAUGGAGACCAUCCUGGCUAACAUGGUGAAACCCCGUCUCUAUUCAAAAUAAAAAAUUUUUUUAAAAAUUAGCCAGGCGUGGUGGCGGGCGCCUGUAGUCCCAGCUACUCGGGAGGCUGAGGCAGGAUAAUGGCGUGAACCCAGGAGGCAGGGCUUGCAGUGAGCCGAGAUCGUGCCACUGCACUCCAGCCUGGGCGACAGAGCGAGACUCCGUCUCAAAAAAAA
rnacentral:lncRNA from 1 species